CCCUUAGAUGUUCUGGGCUGCACGCGCGCUACACUGAUGCGUUCAACGAGUGUAUCACCUUGCCCGAUAGGGUUGGGUAAUCUUUUGAACACGCAUCGUGAUGGGGAUAGAUUAUUGCAAUUAUUAAUCUUCAACGAGGAAUUCCUAGUAAUGAUGGAUCAUCAGUUCAUCGUGAUUACGUCCCUGCCCUUUGUACACACCGCCCGUCGCUCCUACCGAUUGAAUGGUCCGGUGAAAUCUCGGGACGGCGGCUUGGUCGCUUGCGUCCGACUGCUGAAACUUGAUUAAACCAUAUCAUUUAGAGGAAGGUGAAGUCGUANCA
rnacentral:rRNA from 1 species